rnacentral:rRNA from 1 species
GCUUAACAUGCAAGUCGAACGGUAACAGGGGAAGCUUGCUCCGCUGAACGAGUGAGCGAACGGGUGAGUAAUAUAUCGGAACGUACCCAAGAGUGGGGGAUAACGUACUGAAAGUUACGCUAAUACCGCAUACGAUCUAUGGAUGAACGUGGGGGACCUUCGGGCCUUGUGCUCCUGGAGCGGCCGAUAUCUGAUUAGCUAGUUGGUGAGGUAAAGGCUCACCAAGGCGACAAUCAGUAGCUGGUCUGAGAGGACGACCAGCCACACUGAAACUGAGACACGGUCCAGACUCCUACGGGAGGCAGCAGUGGGGAAUUUUGUGACAAUGGGCGCAAGCACUGAUCCAGCAAUGCCGCGUGAGUGAAGUAAGGCGCUUCGUGGUUGUAGAAGCUCUUUUGUCAGGGAAGAAACGGCUAGUGGCUAAUAUCCACGGCUAAUGACGGUACCUGAAUAAUAAGCACCGGCUAACUACGUGCCAGCAGCCGCGGCAAUACGUAGGGUGCAAGCGUUAAUCGAAAUUACUGGGCGUAAAGCGUGCGCACGCGGUUUUGUAAGUCUGACGUGAAAUCCCCGGGCUCAACCUGGGAAUUGCGUUGGAGACUGCAAGGCUAGAAUCUGGCAGAGGGGGGUAGAAUUCCACGUGUAGCAGUGAAAUGCGUAGAGAUGUGGAGGAACACCGAUGGCGAAAGCAGCCCCCUGGGUCAAGAUUGACGCUCAUGCACGAAAGCGAGAGGAGCUAACAGGAUUACAUACCCUGGUAGUCCACGCCCUAAACGAUGUCUACUAGUUGUCGGGUUUUAAUUAACUUGGUAACGCAUCUAACGCCGUGGAAGUAGACCGCCUGGGGAUGACGGUCGCAGGAUUUAAAACUCAAAGGAAUUGACGGGGGACCCGCCACAAGCGGUGAAUGAUGGGAAUUAAAUUCA